rnacentral:rRNA from 1 species
AUCCACGAAUACUAAACCUUCUCUUGAUAUUCAGCAUGUGUACUGCCGUUGUAAGUACACCUUUAAAAGAAUAGUGUGCAGCUAUGAUAACACUCACCUACAUCAGGUCAAAGUGCAGCUAAUAAGAAGGUGAUGAUGGGUUACAACCCGAAAACAGACUAUCAACUAAGAAAUUAAAAAUCUUACGAAAGUGAACUUGGCCGUAAUUAAUUUCAAAUUAAAAAAAUGAAUAAUAUCUGAGACAUGUACACAUCGCCCGUCACUCUACCCUAAAGGGUAGAUAAGUCGUAACAAAGUAGGUGUAAUGGAAAUUGCGCCUGUCGAAGUAUAGCAUAUAAAAUGCUUUUUACUUACACUAAAAAUAAAGUUACUACUUGCUUCGCCCACACAGCAAAAUCUUAUUAACUAAAAAUAAUAGAAACAACUAAAUACCACCAAAAUUUUCAAGUACAGAAAUGGAAAAAAUAAUAAAUAAAAGUAAAUUUUAAUAAAUGUACCUUGUGCAUUAUGGUUUUACAAGAAAAUAAUUAAUAACUUAAUCCCGAAUUCUAAGUGAGAUGUUAGACUGCUGUUAUGAACCCAUUAAUAACUGUGGAAAAAGUUUUAAAAGACAGUUUAACAGAGGCUACAUACCAUCCGCACAAGAAUAUAGCUGGUUUUCAACAAACAUUAUACAUUAAGACAUAUAAUAAUAUUAUAGUGUAAUAUUAUUGAGGAUAAGCCCAAUAAUAAAUGCAAUAAAUACUUACACCUACUCACUAUUUUAGGCCUAAAAUCAGCCAACUAAAAUACUUUACCGUACCAAACAUAGAUGUAAUUUAUAAAAUAAUACAUGCCAAAUAAAGUUGAAAUAAUGGAUAAACCAAAUGAUCCAAAUAUACUAUGUAAAAAUAAGUAUUAUAAUAUAUAAGAACAAUAAUCUAGAAAAACCUCCUCAAUAUUAAAGUAAAAUUAAUUAAGGAACUCGGCAAACUACUAUUUCGACUGUUUAACAAAAACAUUGUCUAAUGAACCAAAUAUUAGAUAAUAC